AAUAGUUCACCAACUUAACAUGUAUGCUGGAGGUUACUAGGCUUUGCUCUGACUGGAGAAGCUGCUCUGUCAGAGGGAAAGGACUUGAGGUGAUGAUCUCAAGCAAACAUCCAACAUCAUUUGCACAUGCGUUUUAAGAAUAUUGGUGACAACAGACACUGAGUAUCAGGACUGCAGAUGAAGAAUCCCGCCCAUUGGAUCAAGUGGCUACUGCUCUUGACUUUUAAUGCAUUAGUGAUGACUAAAAGGAUGGUGAGUGGUGUAAUUAUUUCUAACUGCAUAAGGAGAACUGAUGACAACUUGAGAUUUUACAUUUUCGACUCAUGACAGUCUGAAAACCAGAGAUCUAUGGUGGCCCUGAAAGAUUCAUUUCUUUAUAGUGACCCAUAACCAGAGUCAUACGCAGCAUGUUCCAGGCAAUGGGGGGAGGAAAAGGGGGAAGGUGAUUACAAAGUCUGACAAAAGGGGAAAACAUCUCUUACUCCAAAAGAACUGCAAGAUUUCACUCAUUUAUACCGGCAGACCCUCCAAGAAUACACGUGAGAAUGGACUCUAUGGAUUUUAGACCAAAGAGGAUAGAUUAUAACACUGCAUCUGGGUCAGUGUAUUGAUAUAGCUGCCCCUUCAUAAAUUCUGGGUUCAACAUAUUAGCCUGGGUUAUUUCUCUCAUCUCUUAUUAUCAGAAGUGAUCAAAUACAAACUUAUGUAGGCAGAUGUUUCUUUAAAUUUAUUUUCUCUUCCUUGUCGAAAUACUGUUUACCAUUCUUUAGAAUAUUGCAUUUUCUGUUGAUAUUUUCUCCUUAGUUUUGCUACUGAUUAUUUAUGGACAAGUCAGGCAAAUGACUAUACUUUCCACCUGUAUCAAGAACAGAAUGCUGGGGCACCUGGGUGGCUCAGAUGGUUAAGCAUCUGCCUUCAGCUCAGGUCACGAUCUCCAGGUCCUGGGAUACAGCUACACAUCGGGCUC